rnacentral:rRNA from 1 species
CGCAGCAGGCGCGAAAACUUUACAAUGCGGGCAACCGUGAUAAGGGAACCUCGAGUGCCUGUAAAUGCAGGCUGUUCAGAUGCCUAAAACACAUCUGGAGAAAGGGCCGGGCAAGACCGGUGCCAGCCGCCGCGGUAAUACCGGCGGCUCGAGUGGUGGCCACUUUUAUUGGGCUUAAAGCGUUCGUAGCUGGGUUGUUAAGUCUCUUGGGAAAUCUGGCGGCUUAACCGUCAGGCGUCUAAGGGAUACUGGCAAUCUUGGAACCGGGAGAGGUGAGGGGUACUUCGGGGGUAGGAGUGAAAUCCUGUAAUCCUCGAGGGACCACCUGUGGCGAAGGCGCCUCACCAGAACGGCUUCGACAGUGAGGGACGAAAGCUGGGGGAGCAAACCGGAUUAGAUACCCGGGUAGUCCCAGCCGUAAACUAUGCGCGUUAGGUGUAUCGGUGACCACGAGUUACCGAGGUGCCGAAGGGAAACCGUGAAACGUGCCGCCUGGGAAGUACGGUCGCAAGGCUGAAACUUAAAGGAAUUGGCGGGGGAGCACCACAACAGGUGGAGCCUGCGGUUUAAUUGGACUCAACGCCGGGAAGCUCACCGGAUAGG